rnacentral:lncRNA from 1 species
GGCCGCCGCGAUGGCAGCCAGGCCAAAGAGGAUUAAGUUCUCCGAGGAAGAGAAGAUUGUGAUCCUGGAAGAGUUCAGUCUGCGGAAGGACAUCCUCAUCCCCAAGAGCGGCCGCUACCGCAACACCAUGGACCGCCAGCGGGCCUGGGAGGAGAUCACGAUGGCCGUGAACUCGCUGAACCCCCUGGUGCAGCGGACGCCGGACGAAGUCCGCAAGAAAUGGAAGAACAUGAUCAUUGAUGCCCGCAAGGAGCUGGCCACUGCCAAGCACCCUGUGCUGCGGCGGCGCCCCCAGGAGCGCCUCUUCUAUAACAUCUUUGCUCUCUUCAACAAGACGGGUGCCGAGCUCCCCGAGCCUCUGUAUGCAGCAGGCCCGGGCUUUCGGACUAAGGGGCCCCCCAGCCCACCGGGGCCUGCCUGCAAGGCAGACAGCUUUCUGGACCCUGUCCCCAGCUUGCUACUCCGGCCUCAGGGGGGUGGGAUGGAGCCUGGCCAGGAGAGGGAGGGACUCUGUCAGAUGGAUGCGGACAGAAAACUAGAUGCGUGGCCUGAGGUCUCCAGGAAGGGCCUCCUGCCAGCCUCCGUGGAUGAGCAGGCCCCGUUCAAGGAGGACUCUCUGACUGAAGAUGCCUCCGACUUUGGAGAAAAGAGGCUGCUGGACCCCCUGAAGGACUUGCCCCUGCCCUGUGAGCCUGUGUCUCAGGUGCAUCCCGCCUCGGCCGACGGGGCUGUGUCCCCAGAGGGUCCAUCCGGGGACAUGCCCCACCUGUGCGCCAUGCCCGUGCCGACGAGCCUGUCCCCAGACCCGACUCUGACGUAUAAGAUUAAAUGCCCUGUGAGCCCUUUGCUAGACUGGCCCUGUUUGGGAGUGAGUUCAAGCCCAGUCACACCCAGCGGCCGGAUGGACGCUCUGAGUACUGAAGGAAUCCAGCCAGCCGUGGACAACAACGUGGGCGCCUCAGUGGUGACUGUGGAGGAGGGCUUGCUGCCAGGCCCCCAGCCCAGCGAGGGGGGGCUUCCAGAGAAGGAUCCCGGGGAACUAGCCAAGCAGAGCCGCCUCCAGACCGAGAUCCUGGAGUUGCAAAAGGAGACACUGCAGCUGCAGAAGGAGAAGAUCCUCCUGGAGAAGGAGAAACUGGUCCUGGAGAUUGUCAAGUUGCGGAGGGAGCUGGGCACCUGA